UGAGUUUUGCUCUAAUGAUCAUCUGCUCAUGAUCUCUGCUCUCUAUCUCUUUCUGAGCACAUGAUCUGAAAAUGUAUUAGUUCGUUGUCCUUAUGAUAUAGUUUGGUCUUUUUAUGUGUGCAGGCAAGUGAAACAGAUAACAUCACGUAUGAAGAGGCAGUUCAACUGAACAAGUUUGAUUAUAGACUUUCAAACAAGUUGAGCGAUGACUUCAAAAGCUAAGAUGUAGAGUAAACUACCAUGUUCUCAAGUUCACUGUUUUUUUUUUGGAAAUCAUUAGUUCUUUUGCUUACUGUUUUUUCUUCUUGUAAUGAAACUAAAAGACAACAUAAGUAUCUAUCAAUAAUCUGCAUAUUUUAUAAUGUCU